rnacentral:rRNA from 1 species
AGUAAAGUGGCGCACGGGUGAGUAACGCGUGGGUAAUCUACCUCUGAAUUGGGGAUAACAUUGUGAAAGCGAUGCUAAUACCGAAUAAUAUCCCGAGAACUUAGGCUUUUGGGAUCAAAGGUGGCCUCACAUGUAAGCUACUGUUUAGAGAUGAGCCCGCGUACCAUUAGCUUGUUGGUAGGGUAAUGGCCUACCAAGGCAACGAUGGUUAGCUGGUCUGAGAGGAUGAUCAGCCACACUGGAACUGACACACGGUCCAGACUCCUACGGGAGGCAGCAGUGAGGAAUUUUGCGCAAUGGGGGAAACCCUGACGCAGCAACGCCGCGCGAGUGAUGAAGGCUUUCGAGUCGUAAAGCUCUGUCAAGUGAGAAGAACCUACUUUUUGUUAAUACCAUUAAGUACUGACGGUAUCACUGAAGGAAGCACCGGCUAACUCCGUGCCAGCAGCCGCGGUAAUACGGAGGGUGCAAGCGUUAUUCGGAAUUAUUGGGCGUAAAGGGCGCGUAGGCGGUCUUUUAAGUCAGAUGUGAAAGCCCGGGGCUCAACCCCGGAAGUGCAUUUGAAACUAAUGGACUUGAGUAUGGGAGAGGGAAGUGGAAUUCCUGGUGUAGAGGUGAAAUUCGUAGAUAUCAGGAGGAACACCGGUGGCGAAGGCGACUUCCUGGACCAAUACUGACCCUGAGGCGCGAAGGCGUGGGGAGCAAACAGGAUUAGAUACCCUGGUAGUCCACGCAGUAAACGGUGAACACUAGGUGUAGCGGGUA